rnacentral:misc_RNA from 1 species
GAUGAAGAACGCAGCGAAAUGCGAUACGUAAUGUGAAUUGCAGAAUUCAGUGUAUCAUCGAGUCUUUGAACGCACAUUGCGCCCCCUGGUAUUCCGGGGGGCAUGCCUGUCCGAGCGUCAUUGCUGCCCUCAAGCCCGGCUUGUGUGUUGGGUCUCGUCCCCCUUCCCGGGGGGACGGGCCCGAAAGGCAGCGGCGGCACCGCGUCCGGUCCUCGAGCGUAUGGGGCUUUGUCACCCGCUCUGUAGGCCCGGCCGGCGCUUGCCGAUCAACCAAAACUUUUUUCCAGGUUGACCUCGGAUCAGGUAGGGAUACCCGCUGAACUUAAGCAUAUCAAUAAGCGGAGGA